CAGCAAAUGAGCACAUGGAUGAGAGUAACCCCAGGAUGAGAUCUCAGUGGUCACAGGAAGUAUCUCUACAGUCUUCAUUGUCUUGGCUGCAAGGACUCUGUUUAACACUUGCUGGUGACUUCCUCAUAGCUGCUGGAGCCCAAUGUUUAAGGUCUUCUCGAGGAGAUCACUUCCUGCCUAAUUCAGCUGAACUCCCAGCCAACUGGAACUCGACUUUGAGUUCUCAGCAGCUCAGCUGUUCAAAGACAGAUGGCUUAGGACUCAAAGAGGAAGGACACCCACAGCGGUCAAGGCCAGGAGACAUCCAAAGGUGUGAUCACAGAAGAAAAAAGACCUUGCAAGGCUGUGUGUUUCCAGAUGGGAUAAUGAAGAGAG
rnacentral:lncRNA from 1 species